rnacentral:rRNA from 1 species
AGUCGAACGAACUUAACCAUUAGUUUACUAGUGGAGCGGUUAGUGGCGGACUGGUGAGUAACACGUAAGCAACCUGCCUAUCAGAGGGGAACAACAGUUAGAAAUGACUGCUAAUACCGCAUAUGCCUUGAGUAUCACAUGGUACAAAAGGGAAAGGAGCAAUCCGCUGAUAGAUGGGCUUGCGUCUGAUUAGAUAGUUGGUGAGGUAACGGCCCACCAAGUCGACGAUCAGUAGCCGGACUGAGAGGUUGAACGGCCACAUUGGGACUGAGAUACGGCCCAGACUCCUACGGGAGGCAGCAGUCGGGAAUAUUGCGCAAUGGAGGAAACUCUGACGCAGUGACGCCGCGUGCAGGAAGAAGGUUUUCGGAUUGUAAACUGCUUUAGACAGGGAAGAAACAAGACAGUACCUGUAGAAUAAGCUCCGGCUAACUACGUGCCAGCAGCCGCGGUAAUACGUAGGGAGCAAGCGUUAUCCGGAUUUAUUGGGUGUAAAGGGUGCGUAGACGGGAAAUUAAGUUAGUUGUGAAAUCCCUCGGCUUAACUGAGGAACUGCAACUAAAACUGAUUUUCUUGAGUGCUGGAGAGGAAAGUGGAAUUCCUAGUGUAGCGGUGAAAUGCGUAGAUAUUAGGAGGAACACCAGUGGCGAAGGCGACUUUCUGGACAGUAACUGACGUUGAGGCACGAAAGUGUGGGGAGCAAACAGGAUUAGAUACCCUGGUAGUCCACACCGUAAACGAUGGAUACUAGGUGUAGGGUGUGAUAAACAUUCUGUGCCGUCGCAAACGCAGUAAGUAUCCCACCUGGGGAGUACGGCCGCAAGGU